CGCAGGCCUUGAUCGCUGGACAAAAUUGCACGUUCCUUUAAUAAUCCACGAUAAUCCAUUUCCUAAGCUAAUGCCACGUAUAUUUGGAUGCGUGUACGAAAGAAAACUAUAUCUAAACUAUCGCAACAAAAACAGCGGUGGUGUGCAUCCUACUUCGUCUUGUGCGCUUACCAUGAAUUCCGAUGGCCUGGAUGAUAUCGCUGCCGCAACUAAAGACAAAAUGCGGACAUUGAGUCGGGUAGCUAUUUUGACCAUGGAUAACGAGAUAACCGACAUCGAUAACACUGUUUUCACACUUCUGGAGCAAGCGCAGCAACGUGCAUCCAAAGAUGUUCGGAAACUGCUUCAUUUUGGCGAAGAAGGAUGCCGUGAACUGACUAAUGCGGUUAAUGACAAAUACGAAAUCAUCAAACCAAAACUAUUAUCAGCGGGGAUGGUUAGCUGCACUCACCGAAUUGCAACCUUAUACUCUAUACUGUCGUCUGUUGGGGAUAUGAUUGCCCGUAAAGUUGCUUGCGAGUACGACCAAGAAGAAGCUCUCCAGUGCCUGCUACGGCAUAUUUCAAAAGCCGCGCCAUAUCAAACUUUACCGCGCAAUGGUUUGACCGCGCGUA